AGCGAACGCUGGCGGCAGGCUUAACACAUGCAAGUCGAGCGCCCCGCAAGGGGAGCGGCAGACGGGUGAGUAACGCGUGGGAAUCUACCCCUCUCUACGGAAUAACGCAUGGAAACGUGUGCUAAUACCGUAUACGUCCUUCGGGAGAAAGAUUCAUCGGAGAUGGAUGGGCCCGCGUUGGGUUAGCUAGUUGGUGGGGUAAAGGCCUACCAAGGCGACGAUCCAUAGCUGGUCUGAGAGGAUGAUCAGCCACACUGGUACUGAGACACGGCCCAGACUCCUACGGGAGGCAGCAGUGGGGAAUAUUGGACAAUGGGCGCAAGCCUGAUCCAGCCAUGCCGCGUGAGUGAUGAAGGCCCUAGGGUUGUAAAGCUCUUUCACCGGUGAAGAUAAUGACGGUAACCGGAGAAGAAGCCCCGGCUAACUUCGUGCCAGCCGCCGCCGUAAAAC
rnacentral:rRNA from 1 species